UCGAGGUUCUCUUAUGGCCUAACACGUUAUUUGAGAAUUGUGUACACUUGUUAGUUGUUUCGGUGGGUUGAUCUCCAUCGGGCACUAAUUCAUGUAAGAGGCGUUAUAAGGGUGCUUGGCUGGAUGUGUUCCGGAGCAUGUAUCAUGUAAGGCCUGCCUGGGUAGCGUCCCGAGGUCAAUUCAACUUGUCUGAGUUACGUCCUCAGGGCAAGUGUAAUGGGAGAAAUGGAUCCGUCGGUGGCUAGAGGUCCGGGAUCACAGCGAGUAACAGAAAGGGAGUGUGACAUGUGCGCACAAAUGAAAGAAAAUGUUUUAACAUGCUUAGAAGUACUUCUUUCAAUUUAAAACCUUCUAAGUCAUGUCAAGUAUGAUUGGAUAAACUGUCUUUAUUAAAAUAUGAAAUGUUUCAGAAAAUGCAUGCCCACUAAGUACAUUAGUACUUAGCCCAAAAAUACUUUCAAAUGUUUUCAGGUUGGCUGGCCGGUGCUGACGGGACGGAGCUGAGGCUAGCGAUAAAUUCCUAUGUUAGACUUCCGCUGUAGCAAUUACUCAUAUCAGUCUUUUGUUUUCCCAACUUAAGAUCUUCAUGUUAAAUUUCAAAUGAUAUACCUGACCGAGCUUAGACUCUUCACUACUAAAUUUAUGCCAAUGAAUGUCGGUUGUCAGAAGCAUGAAACAAAACUUGUGAUCCAAAGGGGCAUAGCCCGACUUUCUAUCCUAUUUCGGGUUUUUACAAGGUUGUUCCUUGUUUAUUUCUAUGAAUUAGUUGCACCUCGAUUAUAUUUAUUCAUUCAAGAAUUGGGGUGUGACAGAAUGGUAUCAGAGCAUGAGUUUCCUUUCAUGUUUCUGAUAACCAUAAGCUUUUAAAUGUCGAGUCUAGAAUAGUACCUCUAGACUUCUGAGAAUGUCAGUAAACCUCAGCUCGCCGUCACACUGCCGCAACUAAGGUACGAUAAUAGUUUCAAAAAUAUACAUAUAUGUAUUUCAGAUGCUAUGAAAGUUUUCAAGAAAAUGUGCGCCUUAUGUUUACGAUGCUAUGUGAAUGCUUUUUGUCGUGUUUGGGACUACCCGAACCCAUAACGACUCAAUGAAUGUAUUUCGUGUUUGGGACAACCCGAGCCCUUAACGAAUUAAUGUAUGUAUGUAUGUAUGGUCGAGUUAGAUUCCUUGAAUCUUUCCGGCAUAAGCAAAGUUUUUCAUGAAAGGGACAUUUAAUGUCCAUAUGACUCAAAAUUUCAAAGAAAGCAAAUAUAUGUAUGUAUGUAUGUAUGUAUGAAUGACUGAUGAGAAAGCUUUAUGUUAUCAUUUUAGGUUCACUGCCUAUAUGAUUAGAAUGAUGAGUUCCUUUACAAAUUGUUUGAGAACCACCCAAGAAUGUCUUAAAAAUGUUAGUCGUGAUAGCACCGCUAGAACGGCAUAGAAUGGAUUUAUAUGGUACCAAUGAUUUAUGAUUGAAGUACUUAGAAGUAAGUGCUUUAAGUUAGAAGUUGACUUAGAGCUUCAUAAGAGAUAAGAAGUUGACAUGAUUGGGGGCGAAGCUUCCAUUUAACUGAGAGAUUCGCCGUGCUGGGUCUGGCCAGCCCACAUGACUAUGAUCUCGGUGAUUGUCAAUUUAGUCAUCCCAAUGUAUAAACUCGUACUAUAUAGUUGUCCCAAUAAGAUCUUCUUUGAUCACGAUAAGCAUAGUAUGAUUAGAAUGAGUUCGUUUGUCAACAGUUCUCGAGACAUGAGACGUAGCAUUCUCACGAUUAGAAAAUGUGAUAAGCAUCAAGUUAUGUAGGUGCACUAAUAGUGAAAGUCUAGUAUUCAAACUAGAUGACCCAGAUGUGCAAUUUCGAGGACGAAAUUUUUAUAAGGAGGGAGGAAUGUAACACCCCGCCCAAUUAUAUUAAGUUUAGAAUUCAUUUUGAACUUAGAUUAUGAUGAUUUACGCCGGAGAAUUUGAAAUAAAUUUAUUUUAAUUCCAACAAAAAUGAUUUACAAAAACAUUUGUAAAUUUAGUUAUUAAAUUUUUAUGCAUUGCAUAUUUAUUUAAUUUAGCAUUCAAGUAUUUUCACGAGCUAUUUAUUUAAGCGUACCCUGAACGAUUAUUACAGUUUUCAUAAUACAACCCGGAAGACUUUAUUUUAUUAUAUUUUAUUUAUUCACCUAAUUUCUCUACCUAAUUUCUCCACCUACUCUUCCACAUCCACCUACUCUCCCACCACUACUCCUACCUCCCCACCACUACAUUCCAUAUUACACUUAUCAAUAUUACACUUAGCAAGACAAAGCACACUUCAUUUCUUCCUCACACUUCAUUCUCGGCCUCCCCUCUCUCUCUCUAUACUCUCUUUUCCUCCAUUGAUGUCCAUUGAAGAAAGCUUAGAGAAGCUUCAUCAAACACUACUAUGAGAUAAUCCACCAUCCAAUCCAAUCAAAUACUAUCAUAUCUCAUCAAAUUCAAGAAGCUAGAGCUAAGAUCAAAGUUGGAGCAAAGUCUUGAUCACCUUUUAAAUCCUUGAGCUUUGUGACCGGGGGGAUUAGCGCUGCUUUCCCAAGACAGGUUUUUAUGUGUAUGAUCUUCAGGCUUUGCCUAUCCAGGUGGGCUUACUUUCCAAAUGUACAAAGUAUGAUUGAGUUAUUAAGCUCUAAAUGUUUCAAUGAACUGCAAAUUGUUUAUUUAAUGUAAUGAAAACUGUUUAUCCAAUAAAAUGUUUAUGUGCACUCUGCUCUGUUUAAGGCUCGCAAUUCAUGGAUCGAUCGAGGUUCUCUUAUGGCCUAACACGUUAUUUGAGAAUUGUGUACACUUGUUAGUUGUUUCGGUGGGUUGAUCUCCAUCGGGCACUAAUUCAUGUAAGAGGCGUUAUAAGGGUGCUUGGCUGGAUGUGUUCCGGAGCAUGUAUCAUGUAAGGCCUGCCUGGGUAGCGUCCCGAGGUCAAUUCAACUUGUCUGAGUUACGUCCUCAGGGCAAGUGUAAUGGGAGAAAUGGAUCCGUCGGUGGCUAGAGGUCCGGGAUCACAGCGAGUAACAGAAAGGGAGUGUGACAUGUGCGCACAAAUGAAAGAAAAUGUUUUAACAUGCUUAGAAGUACUUCUUUCAAUUUAAAACCUUCUAAGUCAUGUCAAGUAUGAUUGGAUAAACUGUCUUUAUUAAAAUAUGAAAUGUUUCAGAAAAUGCAUGCCCACUAAGUACAUUAGUACUUAGCCCAAAAAUACUUUCAAAUGUUUUCAGGUUGGCUGGCCGGUGCUGACGGGACGGAGCUGAGGCUAGCGAUAAAUUCCUAUGUUAGACUUCCGCUGUAGCAAUUACUCAUAUCAGUCUUUUGUUUUCCCAACUUAAGAUCUUCAUGUUAAAUUUCAAAUGAUAUACCUGACCGAGCUUAGACUCUUCACUACUAAAUUUAUGCCAAUGAAUGUCGGUUGUCAGAAGCAUGAAACAAAACUUGUGAUCCAAAGGGGCAUAGCCCGACUUUCUAUCCUAUUUCGGGUUUUUACAAGGUUGUUCCUUGUUUAUUUCUAUGAAUUAGUUGCACCUCGAUUAUAUUUA